rnacentral:misc_RNA from 1 species
GGCUGGAUCACCUCCUUUCUAAAGGACAUACUCACUUCAUAGUAGGUCUACUAUCCAGUUUUGAAAGACCGGCAAAUCGUCGGGCGAAACAGGCCCGAAUUCGAUCGAUCAUCGAGGGCCUGUAGCUCAGGUGGUUAGAGCGCACCCCUGAUAAGGGUGAGGUCGGAAGUUCGAGUCUUCCCAGGCCCACCAGUUUUGAAAUUAGGGGAUGUAGCUCAGCUGGGAGAGCACCGGCUUUGCAAGCCGGGGGUCAGGGGUUCGAUCCCCCUCAUCUCCACAGAGAUGAGAAAAUAAAAGUUUUGGAUCGCCGCGCGAGCGGCGGUUCUCGCUCUUUGACAAUUGCAUACGAUCUGCGAAGACAAUCCAAUUUUUUAUGAGCAGAAUCUCAAGAUACUCCAAAUGAGUGUCCUUAAUUCGUCCUUCUUUCGAGAAGUCCGAAACGAGGAUUACAAGUUUGGUCAAGCUACUAAGAGUAUAUGGUGGAUGCCUUGGCGGAGGACGGCGAAGAAGGACGUGAUUGGCUGCGAAAAGCUUCGGGGAGUCGCCAAAUAUACUUUGAUC